rnacentral:rRNA from 1 species
UACGUAGGGGGCUAGCGUUGUCCGGAAUCAUUGGGCGUAAAGCGCGCGUAGGCGGCCCGGUAAGUCCGCUGUGAAAGUCAAAGGCUCAACCUUUGAAUGUCAGCGGAUACUGCCGGGCUAGAGUCCGGAAGAGGCGAGUGGAAUUCCUGGUGUAGCGGUGGAAUGCGCAGAUAUCAGGAGGAACACCAACGGCGAAGGCAGCUCGCUGGGACGGUACUGACGCUGAGGUGCGAAAGCGUGGGGAGCAAACAGG